rnacentral:rRNA from 1 species
UACGAAGGGGGCUAGCGUUGCUCGGAAUCACUGGGCGUAAAGGGUGCGUAGGCGGGUCUUUUAAGUCAGGGGUGAAAUCCUGGAGCUCAACUCCAGAACUGCCUUCGAUACUGGCGAUCUUGAGUCCGGAAGAGGUGAGUGGAACUGCGAGUGUAGAGGUGAAAUUCGUAGAUAUUCGCAAGAACACCAGUGGCGAAGGCGGCUCACUGGCCCGGAACUGACGCUGAGACGCGAAAGCGUGGGGAGCAAACAGG